GGGGGGGGGGGGCUGAUAAAGCUUGUACACCAGUCCAGUAAUGCCCUAUUUUCUAGUAUCGACGAGGACUAGAAUCGGGGUUGGCAAGGACACUUUGUCCGAGUGAGGACCGUUGACCUGAUACAUGCCGAGUGGAGAUUGUUCCCCGAGAAAUGGAAUGUAUCAUGUAAGUAUAAAUCCCUUUUAAACAUUGAUUUUAUGUUUUAUUUUCCCUUUUUUCAUCGGUGUCUGCUAUGGUGCAACCCUUGCUUGAGUCCUAAACGCCAUCCCUCGGCUCAAGGAGUGGAUCAGAGGCAUUUAUUCGUAGAUGCCUUAUGCCCACCGCUCAUGGCGCGAGCUUUCGAAGGAUCACUUAGAGGCUCGUUCUCACGGUAAGAGCCAUUUCCUUAGAUAAAUAGCACUAAGCUUUCCUCUACAACACCAUGUUUUCGUUCCUUCUCUUCUCAUUUUUGUAGGUUUGCCUAGAACCAUCGAGCUUAGGCCCUUAGUAAGGGGGUGAAGACUUACCCGCCAAUCCUUCUACUUUAGGGCAGCCCCGAGCAACAGGGGAGAAGAAAAGAAAGAGGGCUCCAAGUUCCCCUAGCUCGGAGAAAAAGAAGCACAAGAGAAAGUUGGCUCGUAAGCCAAAGGAAAGCUCCAGCUUCUGGGUGCCUGAUUCAGACUUGCUUUACUGACUUAGGGACGAGCCCGAUGAGGCUGAAAUUUUGGCCUGUGAGCCGUCUGUCCCCGAGGAACGUGAGGCAGUCAAGGAGGAAACAACGGGGACUAAUCCCCCUCAAGUCCAAGAUGUGGGCAUAAAGGUGAGUGUCGAGGCCACUCGAGGCGCCGGCUCCACCCUACCCGGUAUUAUAGAAAUUUUAAGAUAGCCCUCAUUCACAGAGUCCAUGUUCGAUGAAGCCCGAGCGACUAAAGGGCGAUCCAAUGAAGGGGUGCAUGGAGCGGACAAUCCUCUUUUAGGCUUCUUUGAUGGUGUAGACUCAAUCAUACUGGAAGAUUUCUCCAGGUUGAGUGACUUAGAGGUACCGAGGAAGAGUCCAUCCUCGGAGGCCGGUGGGCCGAUCUUGAGCCCGAGGUUGAUCAACCGGUUUCCCACUCCGAACACGGAUCCUGGCCGGAAGCAUUCAGUUGUUAUCACCGUCCCGGAGGAUGCCCAGAUUUUUUUUGCCCCUAUCGGGGUAGCUAGCUACCUCCAGUGCCUGGUAACCAAAGAAGACCAGGAAAAAAUGAAAGAGGUGGAUGCGCCAUGCUUGUUCAACGAAGCAUAAUAGGAACUGAACCAGACUUUGAAUGCCUCAGUGCUCCACCAUGAAUUCUUUAUCCGGUACCGGGAUGAGCUUAGUCAACUCGAGGUCGAGGUCAAAGAACUUGCUGAGAAGAGGGAUAUGCAUAAGCUUCUCAGCGGGCAACGUGAAGGAGAAGUCACGAAUCUCCGGGUUAGUUGGAAGCAACUCAGAAAGAAAAUACCGACCUGGUUUAACAUGUAUAGAUCUUUGAAGUUAGUGAUGAUGAGUUAGACAUGGCUACUAACGGUCAAAACUCAUAGGUCCAGCAGAAGCUUGACCGGAUCGAUCAACUUCGAGCCGAGAUGGACGUGGUCAAGGCCAAGGCCGAAGAAUGGAAAGGCAAAAUGGAGCGAUUGGCUUCGGAGAAGGAGACUUCUUAGGAGCAGCUGGCCUCGGCAGAGAUCCAACUUCGAGUGGCGAAGGAAAAGUGGAGACCCGAUCCUAGAAAAUCGAAGACCUCCAGUCUCAACUAGGCUCGACUAUCGAUGAACGUGAUGCCCUUGGAAAGGGAGUAAUUAACAGCCAUCCUAAGCUAGUUGCAAAAGAUAGAACGACGCAGCAAAAGCAAAUGUUAGGUAAAACAGGAAAAAGAAGAAAGGAAAAAGUUAGGCAACUUAAGAAUAAAGAAGUUGGGCAGCAAGCAUUAAUAACCGAUCACAAGAAACAUGUGCAGCAACUUGAACAUAGGUAGAAUAGAGUUAUAUAGAUUGAACUUGGGAAAAUUAAAGUAAGUUUAGGUUGAAUAUUUCGGAUAAUAAGUUUAGGUUGAAUAUUUCGGAUAAAUAAUAAAUAAGUAACGUUAUAACUUACAACACGAACCUUUGAAUGACCAAUAUCUUAUUUAUUUUAAAUACUUAUACUAGAUCAAAUGAAUCUAACUUUUUCAUAGAAAAUAAGUGGUUAAUCAUAAGAGAAAAUGCACAUGCAUUCGAUGGGGUGAGAUAUGAACGAUUCAUAUAUUCAAACCUCUACUAAUUAAUAGAACUACAUAUAUUCUGAGUUCUGACUAUAUUUCGGUAAAUCGCCAAUAUUUGUUAUGAAUAUUUAUGUAAAUGGCUUAAAAGGGAGUAAGACCUUAAUUUUUUCA